UACGUACGGUGCGAGCGUUGUCCGGAAUUAUUGGGCGUAAAGGGCUCGUAGGCGGUUUGUCGCGUCGGGAGUGAAAACCUCGGGCUUAACUCGGGGCUUGCUUUCGAUACGGGCAGACUGGAGGUAUGCAGGGGAGAACGGAAUUCCUGGUGUAGCGGUGAAAUGCGCAGAUAUCAGGAGGAACACCGGUGGCGAAGGCGGGUCUCUGGGCCGAAACUGACGCUGAGGAGCGAAAGCGUGGGGAGCAAACAGG
rnacentral:rRNA from 1 species